ensembl:lncRNA
UGCUGGUGAUUGAACCCAGGGCCUCAUGCAUGCUACGUAAAGACUGUGCCUCUGAACUACACCCAUUUUAUAAGUAUGAAUGAAGGUAUCAGUGUUCGCCAAAGCGUAAAUUCAAUCAGUAUAAUGGAAUCCACAGCUGAUUAAUCAUAUUAGCGCUCCUGGAGUCCUCCAAGGCUCUGGAUCUUAGGUGGAGAGAAACGUCCACUUAAUGAAGGCAUAACAGCCCAAGGAAGAGGGUGUCAGGCCAGGUAGGAUUUGUGCCCCACAGCACUUUCUCAAGAUGACCUCAAUUCUUCCUUUGAAAGUCAACUCUCUCCAACUCCCUCCGGGCUUCCUCCAACAUACACAGGAGAAUCUCAUCUCCUGCUGUCCGGGCUUAGGCAUCCUGCACGGUGACUCCUCGGCUUUUGUCCCUGCCCACUAGACAAGAAGGUUGUCACAUUACCCAGAAAAGGGAAACAGGGUUACACAAUAAGGAAUUGCCAAGGGCUCUGGGGUCAGAGCUCAAGCUUCACUCCCAGACAGGUUCCACAACCUCCAGGCUGCGC